rnacentral:rRNA from 1 species
GACGAACGCUGGCGGCGUGCUUAACACAUGCAAGUCGAACGGUGAAGCUCCAGCUUGCUGGAGUGGAUCAGUGGCGAACGGGUGAGUAACACGUGAGCAACCUGCCCCUGACUCUGGAAUAAGCGCUGGAAACGGCGUCUAAUACUGGAUACGAGAAGGGUCCGCAUGGGCACCUUCUGGAAAGUUUUUCGGUUGGGGAUGGGCUCGCGGCCUAUCAGCUUGUUGGUGAGGUAAUGGCUCACCAAGGCGACGACGGGUAGCCGGCCUGAGAGGGCGACCGGCCACACUGGGACUGAGACACGGCCCAGACUCCUACGGGAGGCAGCGGUGGGGAAUAUUGCACAAUGGGCGAGAGCCUGAUGCAGCGACGCCGCGUGAGGGAUGACGGCCUUCGGGUUGUAAACCUCUUUCAGCAGGGAAGAAGCGAAAGUGACGGUACCUGCAGAAGAAGCACCGGCUAACUACGUG